UGAGUAACACGUAUGCAAUCCACCUGUAACAGGGGGAUAACCCGGAGAAAUCCGGACUAAUACCCCAUAAUAUGGGCGCUCCGCAUGGAGAGCCCAUUAAAGAGAGCAAUUUUGGUUACAGACGAGCAUGCGCUCCAUUAGCCAGUUGGCGGGGUAGCGGCCCACCAAAGCGACGAUGGAUAGGGGUUCUGAGAGGAAGGUCCCCCACAUUGGAACUGAGACACGGUCCAA
rnacentral:rRNA from 1 species